rnacentral:lncRNA from 1 species
GUGCUUGUAUUCCUCUCCCUCCAUUUUCUUCCGUAAAUCAAUUUCCUCUCAACUCAUUCUCUUCACACACCUCUUCAACUCAAAAUCCUAGCUCAUGAUCCAGAAUAACAAAGCAAGUACAUGUCUCAAAGCUCGGACGUGAACCACCAUUCUAACCCAACCCGUUACCUAUUAGUUUCGGUCAAAACAAGGUCUUCGAUUGCAAAAAUAGAUUUAGGGUUCCGACUAGAGAGAUUUAGUAAGGAGCGAUACUGGAGUAAAUGCGCAUAAGUCGAAGACGUGAGAGGAAUCUGGAAAAGCUUAGGCUUCUUCCAAAGGAAAUGCAUAGAACCCCAAUUGGCCAAUUCUUCUUUCUCUAUCUAAUUCGUUCUGAUUUACCUUCAAAAUCUGAUUGGUUGAUAUGUCUGCUGGUGGUCAACUUGAAGCCAACAAGAAAGCUAUGAAGAUCCAGUGAUAUGGCUGAAGCAAUUGAUUUGACUGGAUAUGGAGGUGUUUUGAAGAUGCUUGUGAAGUGAAGAGUGCUAAAAAUCUGAUACUAUUGCUCCUUCAGAGAGUCUUCCUCUUGUUGAUGGUUGGGGAGGUUGCCAAAAUAACUUGCAAGUCAAAUUAUGCCUCUGGUAGCACUGGUUCUCCGCCAGAUAUUCCACCAGAGUAAUUACCUCAUAGCUUAUCGUGUCUAAU